UACGUAGGGUCCGAGCGUUGUCCGGAAUUACUGGGCGUAAAGAGCUCGUAGGUGGUUUGUCGCGUUGUUCGUGAAAACUCACAGCUUAACUGUGGGCGUGCGGGCGAUACGGGCAGACUUGAGUACUGCAGGGGAGACUGGAAUUCCUGGUGUAGCGGUGGAAUGCGCAGAUAGUCAGGAGGAACACCGGUGGCGAAGGCGGGUCUCUGGGCAGUAACUGACGCUGGAGGAGCGAAAGCCGUGGGGAGCGAACAGGA
rnacentral:rRNA from 1 species